GACGAACGCUGGCGGCGUGCUUAACACAUGCAAGUCGAACGGAAAGGCCCUGCUUUUGUGGGGUGCUCGAGUGGCGAACGGGUGAGUAACACGUGAGUAACCUGCCCUUGACUUUGGGAUAACUUCAGGAAACUGGGGCUAAUACCGGAUAGGAGCCCCUGCUGCAUGGUGGGGGUUGGAAAGUUUCGGCGGUUGGGGAUGGACUCGCGGCUUAUCAGCUUGUUGGUGGGGUAGUGGCUUACCAAGGCUUUGACGGGUAGCCGGCCUGAGAGGGUGACCGGCCACAUUGGGACUGAGAUACGGCCCAGACUCCUACGGGGGACAGCGGUGGCGAAUAUUGCACAAUGAGCGGGAGCCUGAGGCAGCAACGCCGCGUGCGGGAUGACGGCCUUCGGGUUGUAAACCGCUUUCGCCUGUGACGAAGCGUGAGUGACGGUAAUGGGUAAAGAAGCACCGGCUAACUACGUG
rnacentral:rRNA from 1 species